GGCGUCCCGAUCCCGGCGUGGCUUUCCCCAGUCCACGAAGUCUUCUACGGACAUAUCCUCCUGUUCCCCAAGAGGAUGGCACAGGGAGAGUUCUGAGUGGUCUCGGGCAAUGGCUGCAUUUGCUGUUGGCCUGUAAGCAGGCCAGAAGCAGAGGAAGAGAGAGAAGGUAAAACCCGCCCAUGGACCGCAAGCGUGAGAGCCAAGGCAGGACUAUGAACUGUCAAAAUUGUCUCUGACUUCUCACCAGGCCGGAGAGGAGGGAUCUAGUGCGUGAGGUACCAGAUCUCGUCUCACUUGACUCUCCUCCUCUUCAGCACCAAGAACGCCUGUCCCCUGGAAACACAUUCUCUAGGGGGUGGAGGCAACAAAGGAAAAGAACAAUUGGGUCAGAGCAGAAUGAGGUUCAAUCCUCAGUCUGGAGAACGGAGCAAAUUCAUGAAAAGCAUAGUUUAAAAGAAGUCAGAAUAUGAACAGACCAGAUGACUUUUAAACCACGAAAACAUUUCUAGAAUAAGUGAUAACUAACUACUCUGUUUCACCGUGAUUUAGACUCUACUACACUCUACAGAAAUCACCAACAAUGACAACAGGCUAUAUAUGAAAGCUAUUGAAAAGAAAGUAGGUCAAGGAAAAAAAAAACACCAAUAAGGACUCCAUUAAAAAUCAUAACGGAGGAGAGGAAAUUGAUGCUAAAAUAAAACAAUAUUGUCGAGAAUUAUUAUAAAUAUCUACAGCAUUUUUUUUUCCUAAUGCUACAAAUAGAGGUAGCAUUCUGAACCACAUUUUACUUACAAGCUGAAAAGAAUUAAUACUUGGCACUUGAACAAAAGAGUAGAAGAGGUGCUACAAAAAUCCAAGAGCUUAACCCUAAAGUUCUUAAUAAAACUAAUAUUUUUUUUACCGUUAGAGCAUUAGACAAAAGACCUAUCUCUCUUGCAACUGAAUAGUCUACAGAAAUUUAGAAACAAUGAUAUUGAUGAGGCACCCAGUCUUUUCAUUUACUCUGAGUGAAGUAUAUUUUUUUAGUACAAGGAUCUAAAAUAAAAAUACUUCCCAUUGUGGGCAGCGUCCUCUUCAAAAGAUUUCUAGUAAUUAAUGGAAAGUGUUCUACAUACUAUGUUGUCCAGAAUAAAUGUUUUAUAACGCAUCAGUGAUGGUGAUGUUUUUAAAGCGGCAUUAUAUAAGGUGACCAGGC
rnacentral:lncRNA from 1 species